rnacentral:miRNA from 1 species
CUGCAUUAUAUACACACUCUGCAUUAUAUACACAGAGUGUGUGUAUAUAAUGCAGAGUGUGUAUAUAAUGCAGAGU